CCUACGGGAGGCAGCAGUGGGGAAUAUUGGGCAAUGGGCGCAAGCCUGACCCAGCAACGCCGCGUGAAGGAAGAAGGCAUUCGGGUUGUAAACUUCUUUUCUCAGGGACGAAGAAAGUGACGGUAGCUGAGGAAUAAGCCACGGCUAACUACGUGCCAGCAGCCGCGGGAAAUCGUAGGUGGCAAGCGUUCGUCGGAUUUAAUGGGUGUAAGGGGGGGGUAGGUGGGAGGGGAAGUCAGUGGGGAAAACUCAGGGCCCAAACCAAGGCCUGCAUUUGAAACUGUAUAUCUUGAGUGCUGGAGAGGCAAGCGGAAUUCCGUGUGUAGCGGUGAAAUGCGUAGAUAUACGGAGGAACACCAGUGGCGAAGGCGGAUUGCUGGACAGUAACUGACGCUGAGGCACGAAAGCGUGGGGAGCAAACAGGAUUAGAUACCCGUGUAGUC
rnacentral:rRNA from 1 species